ensembl:lncRNA
AACUUAAAGAAAAAAAUUUUUAAUGUUUUUAUAAUUUAUUUUUGGGAGGAGAGAGAGAGUGACAGACAGACAGAGUGCGAGCAGGGGAGGGGCAGAGAGAAAGAGACACAACCGAAGCAGGUUCCAGGCUCUGAGCUGUCAGCAUAGAGCCCAGCCACAGGGCUAGUUUGAACUCACCCAUGAGAUCAUGGCCUGAACUGAAAUCGAAGCUUAACUGACAAGGCCACCCAGGUGCCCCUAAACUUUUUUUUUUUUUUUUUUUAAGGUAGCUUCCUUUGAGACCACUCCUGCAGGGGAAAUGGUGGAGCUUCCUUAUUACUGCAAGUGAGGAAAGAGGUCCAGGCCCUCCACUGAGCCUCAGUUGACUGUAAGCAGCGGGGUGGGGAGCCCUCAGGGUAAUUAGCAGGAGUGGGAGUUCCGGCUCCCUACAAGUCUUCCUCUCAUACCUCCCUGCUGUCUGGCUGGUAAGGGUGGGAGUGCCUCAUGACUGCUCCUCCCCUUGUGGCUUCCACAGACACCAUGAGAGGGAGGUUUCUUUUUACCCGUGAUCAAAGGUGAAAGUCCUGACUCUCCACUAGGUCUCCCUUGACAAUAUUCAGUAGGAAGGGGGAGAUCACCAAGUGUGGUACAGCCCAGCACAGGGCCCCGCGGGGCUGCAUAUGUUGCACAGCAGAGAGUAAUGGACAGGAGUCUGGAUCUCGGGCCCAGCCACUUAUCCUCUGUGUGACCAUCGCAUGCAUUUUCCAGACAUUUCCUGAGUGGCGUUCUCUGCUGGUCAUUGAGCCAAAUACAGAGGACCUGGAGAAGACGGAGACGCAGUCCUUGCCCUCACAAGCCGCGGCACUGCCCAAAAUCUGGGUGAGGAGAGAGGAAGCCCAUCAACUUUCUGCUUCACAUGAAUCCCCCGAGCAGUUAUCCUAAUAGGGUUCUGUCCUGCUCCCGAGAUCUAGCAUUUUAAUGAACAGAGACCCCCAGAGACCUUCCACCUUUCACGGUGAUGCUCCUGCCUAUAAUCUGUGCUUUGGUUUCCUCUGUCAACCUCAUUCUGCCUGCCUUCUAUUCUUGAGGGGUUCCUUAUAGCUUCUAGUUUAACAGGGCUCUGCUCUCUGUUUUCCUGCACUAUUACGGAUUUAUUUUCAGGUCUACUCUCUUUCACCUCUGUGGUUUGAGGCAGGAGAGAGGCAGUGUCCACAGGUGGCAGGCUGAUGUCUGGGCCCAGUGGCCACGGAGAACCUUUCUGUUGUCCUGACACUGACAGCUUGGCUCAGCAUAGAAUUCUUGGGUCACAAUCAAUCAUUUUCUCUCAGUACUCUGUAGAACGUCAUCCACUCUCUGACGUUCUGUAUUGCGAGUGGUAAUUGACGCAUUCUGAUUCUUUAUUCUUUUUAGGUAAUCUGGGGUUUUCCCCUCUGCCUUAAUGUUUGCUUUUCUUUUCUUUCUUUCUUUCUUUCUUUCUUUCUUUCUUUCUUUCUUUCUUUCUUUCUUUCUUUCUUUCUUUCUCUUUCUUUCUUUCUUCCUUCCUUCCUCCCUCCCUUCCUCUCUCUCUCUCUCUCUCUCUCUUUCUUUCUUUCUUUAGAUUUU